GACGAACGCUGGCGGCGUGCUUAACACAUGCAAGUCGAACGGAAAGGCCCUGCUUUUGUGGGGUGCUCGAGUGGCGAACGGGUGAGUAACACGUGAGUAACCUGCCCUUGACUUUGGGAUAACUUCAGGAAACUGGGGCUAAUACCGGAUAGGAGCUCCUGCUGCAUGGUGGGGGUUGGAAAGUUUCGGCGGUUGGGGAUGGACUGGGGGCUUAUCAGCUUGUUGGUGGGGUAGUGGUUUACCAAGGCUUUGACGGGUAGCCGGCAUGAGAGGGUGACCAGCGACAUGAGGACUGAGAUACGGACCAGACUCCAACGGGAGGCAGCAGUGGGGAAUAUUGCACAAUGGGCGGAAGCCUGAUGCAGCAACGCCGCGUGCGGGAUGACGGCCUUCGGGUUGUAAACCGCUUUCGCCUGUGACGAAGCGUGAGUGACGGUAAUGGGUAAAGAAGCACCGGCUAACUACGUG
rnacentral:rRNA from 1 species